CCUACGGGUAGCAGCAGUGGGGAAUUUUGGACAAUGGGCGAAAGCCUGAUCCAGCAAUGCCGCGUGUGUGAAGAAGGCCUUCGGGUUGUAAAGCACUUUUGUCCGGAAAGCGGUACCGGAAGAAUAAGCACCGGCUAACUACGUGCCAGCAGCCGCGGUAAUACGUAGGGUGCGAGCGUUAAUCGGAAUUACUGGGCGUAAAGCGUGCGCAGGCGGUCCGCUAAGACCGAUGUGAAAUCCCCGGGCUUAACCUGGGAACUGCAUUGGGGACUGGCGGGCUGGAGUAUGGCAGAGGGGGGUAGAAUUCCACGUGUAGCAGUGAAAUGCGUAGAGAUGUGGAGGAAUACCGAUGGCGAAGGCAGCCCCCUGGGCCAAACUGACGCUCAUGCACGAAAGCGUGGGGAGCAAACAGGAUUAGAUACCCUGGUAGUC
rnacentral:rRNA from 1 species